GAUGAACGCUGGCGGCGUGCCUAAUACAUGCAAGUCGAGCGAACAGACGAGGAGCUUGCUCCUCUGACGUUAGCGGCGGACGGGUGAGUAACACGUGGAUAACCUACCUAUAAGACUGGGAUAACUUCGGGAAACCGGAGCUAAUACCGGAUAAUAUAUUGAACCGCAUGGUUCAAUAGUGAAAGACGGUUUUGCUGUCACUUAUAGAUGGAUCCGCGCCGCAUUAGCUAGUUGGUAAGGUAACGGCUUACCAAGGCAACGAUGCGUAGCCGACCUGAGAGGGUCAUCGGCCACACUGGAACUGAGACACGGUCCAGACUCCUACGGGAGGCAGCAGUAGGGAAUCUUCCGCAAUGGGCGAAAGCUUGACGGAGCAACGCCGCGUGAGUGAUGAAGGUCUUCGGAUCGUAAAACUCUGUUAUUAGGGAAGAACAAAUGUGUAAGUAACUAUGCACGUCUUGACGGUACCUAAUCAGAAAGCCACGGCUAACUACGUG
rnacentral:rRNA from 1 species